AGUUGAAACCUGCACAGUUGUGGUUUGUUUUAGUCAUCUUUGAACAAGUGCAGAUGAACUGAGUUGAGUGUUUGAGGCAGGACAAGUCCAGGACUGCCACCAUACAGGGCUCAUACCCCAGGGAGAUGACACUACUAAAGACAUUGAGAUUCAUCAUUCUUCUUUUGUCUGCACACGUCUUUUGGGAGAAUGAGAGCUACACUCCACUCACAGAUUUGGUUUUGCAAGAUAUUUUCCAGGAUGUGACCGACAGACAACUAUCUCAUAAACAUGUCAGAGAGAAAAGAAAGGAAAGAUUUCCCACAGUAACUGUGGUCAUUUUACUGGACAUUCCAAAUGACCCAGAGCCAACAGAGUUCACUAAUCUACUGAGGAAUGCUGUGGGAGAUGUCAUUUUGCCAUUCGACAUCACAGAUGAUUUCAUGCUGACAAGCAUAAAUCUGACCACAGCCUGCAUACCAAAUUCUACUGGAGGACAGCAGUGUCAUUGUGAAGAUGAGUUGUUAUGGUCAGAGGAGAUUUGUGACACUUAUGGUGCAUGUGGCAAUGCGAGCACAGAAAACUGCAACUGCAUUAAUGGAAUUCCAAUUGGACAUGUCUGUGAACCAAGUAUCAUCUUACAGCACCCAAUAGAAGUGAACAUUGUAAUCACAGUGGACACUCCAACUAUUACCGAGUCAUCAGAGUUAAUUAAUCUACUAAGAGACGCUGUGGAUAAUUUAUCCUUACCAUUAAAUAUAACAGAUGAAAUAGCACUCCAAAGUUGGAAUUUGACCACAGCCUGCCCUCUAAACGCUACUGGAGGACCUGAGUGCCAGUGCGAAGAGUCCUUUGGUUGGUCGUGUGACACCUGUUUGACGUAUGGUGGAUGCAGCAAUGCCAGUACAUUACCCUGUGACUGCAGAUAUGGAGUGCCUCCACUUGGAGAGUCCUGUAAACCAAUCUCAAGUAUCGCCCCAUGUCCACCAUCCAUAGAAGUGGACAUUGUUCUUAUUGUUGACACUCCAACCAACGCUGAGCCAUCAGAGAUCUGGAAUCAACUGAGGGAUGCUCUAGAGAAUAUAUCCUUCCCAUUAGCGAUAGCAGAAGAGUUAGCACUCCAAAGUUGGAAUUUGACCACAGCCUGCCCUCUAAACGCUACUGGAGGACCUGAGUGCCAGUGCGAAGAGUCCUUUGGUUGGUCGUGUGACACCUGUUUGACGUAUGGUGGAUGCAGCAAUGCCAGUACAUUACCCUGUGACUGCAGAUAUGGAGUGCCUCCACUUGGAGAGUCCUGUAAACCAAUCUCAAGUAUCGCCCCAUGUCCACCAUCCAUAGAAGUGGACAUUGUUCUUAUUGUUGACACUCCAACCAACGCUGAGCCAUCAGAGAUCUGGAAUCAACUGAGGGAUGCUCUAGAGAAUAUAUCCUUCCCAUUAGCGAUAGCAGAAGAGUUAGCACUCCAAAGUUGGAAUUUGACCACAGCCUGCCCUCUAAACGCUACUGGAGGACCUGAGUGCCAGUGCGAAGAGUCCUUUGGUUGGUCGUGUGACACCUGUUUGACGUAUGGUGGAUGCAGCAAUGCCAGUACAUUACCCUGUGACUGCAGAUAUGGAGUGCCUCCACUUGGAGAGUCCUGUAAACCAAUCUCAAGUAUCGCCCCAUGUCCACCAUCCAUAGAAGUGGACAUUGUUCUUAUUGUUGACACUCCAACCAACGCUGAGCCAUCAGAGAUCUGGAAUCAACUGAGGGAUGCUCUAGAGAAUAUAUCCUUCCCAUUAGCGAUAGCAGAAGAGUUAGCACUCCAAAGUUGGAAUUUGACCACAGCCUGCCCUCUAAACGCUACUGGAGGACCUGAGUGCCAGUGCGAAGAGUCCUUUGGUUGGUCGUGUGACACCUGUUUGACGUAUGGUGGAUGCAGCAAUGCCAGUACAUUACCCUGUGACUGCAGAUAUGGAGUGCCUCCACUUGGAGAGUCCUGUAAACCAAUCUCAAGUAUCGCCCCAUGUCCACCAUCCAUAGAAGUGGACAUUGUUCUUAUUGUUGACACUCCAACCAACGCUGAGCCAUCAGAGAUCUGGAAUCAACUGAGGGAUGCUCUAGAGAAUAUAUCCUUCCCAUUAGCGAUAGCAGAAGAGUUAGCACUCCAAAGUUGGAAUUUGACCACAGCCUGCCCUCUAAACGCUACUGGAGGACCUGAGUGCCAGUGCGAAGAGUCCUUUGGUUGGUCGUGUGACACCUGUUUGACGUAUGGUGGAUGCAGCAAUGCCAGUACAUUACCCUGUGACUGCAGAUAUGGAGUGCCUCCACUUGGAGAGUCCUGUAAACCAAUCUCAAGUAUCGCCCCAUGUCCACCAUCCAUAGAAGUGGACAUUGUUCUUAUUGUUGACACUCCAACCAACGCUGAGCCAUCAGAGAUCUGGAAUCAACUGAGGGAUGCUCUAGAGAAUAUAUCCUUCCCAUUAGCGAUAGCAGAAGAGUUAGCACUCCAAAGUUGGAAUUUGACCACAGCCUGCCCUCUAAACGCUACUGGAGGACCUGAGUGCCAGUGCGAAGAGUCCUUUGGUUGGUCGUGUGACACCUGUUUGACGUAUGGUGGAUGCAGCAAUGCCAGUACAUUACCCUGUGACUGCAGAUAUGGAGUGCCUCCACUUGGAGAGUCCUGUAAACCAAUCUCAAGUAUCGCCCCAUGUCCACCAUCCAUAGAAGUGGACAUUGUUCUUAUUGUUGACACUCCAACCAACGCUGAGCCAUCAGAGAUCUGGAAUCAACUGAGGGAUGCUCUAGAGAAUAUAUCCUUCCCAUUAGCGAUAGCAGAAGAGUUAGCACUCCAAAGUUGGAAUUUGACCACAGCCUGCCCUCUAAACGCUACUGGAGGACCUGAGUGCCAGUGCGAAGAGUCCUUUGGUUGGUCGUGUGACACCUGUUUGACGUAUGGUGGAUGCAGCAAUGCCAGUACAUUACCCUGUGACUGCAGAUAUGGAGUGCCUCCACUUGGAGAGUCCUGUAAACCAAUCUCAAGUAUCGCCCCAUGUCCACCAUCCAUAGAAGUGGACAUUGUUCUUAUUGUUGACACUCCAACCAACGCUGAGCCAUCAGAGAUCUGGAAUCAACUGAGGGAUGCUCUAGAGAAUAUAUCCUUCCCAUUAGCGAUAGCAGAAGAGUUAGCACUCCAAAGUUGGAAUUUGACCACAGCCUGCCCUCUAAACGCUACUGGAGGACCUGAGUGCCAGUGCGAAGAGUCCUUUGGUUGGUCGUGUGACACCUGUUUGACGUAUGGUGGAUGCAGCAAUGCCAGUACAUUACCCUGUGACUGCAGAUAUGGAGUGCCUCCACUUGGAGAGUCCUGUAAACCAAUCUCAAGUAUCGCCCCAUGUCCACCAUCCAUAGAAGUGGACAUUGUUCUUAUUGUUGACACUCCAACCAACGCUGAGCCAUCAGAGAUCUGGAAUCAACUGAGGGAUGCUCUAGAGAAUAUAUCCUUCCCAUUAGCGAUAGCAGAAGAGUUAGCACUCCAAAGUUGGAAUUUGACCACAGCCUGCCCUCUAAACGCUACUGGAGGACCUGAGUGCCAGUGCGAAGAGUCCUUUGGUUGGUCGUGUGACACCUGUUUGACGUAUGGUGGAUGCAGCAAUGCCAGUACAUUACCCUGUGACUGCAGAUAUGGAGUGCCUCCACUUGGAGAGUCCUGUAAACCAAUCUCAAGUAUCGCCCCAUGUCCACCAUCCAUAGAAGUGGACAUUGUUCUUAUUGUUGACACUCCAACCAACGCUGAGCCAUCAGAGAUCUGGAAUCAACUGAGGGAUGCUCUAGAGAAUAUAUCCUUCCCAUUAGCGAUAGCAGAAGAGUUAGCACUCCAAAGUUGGAAUUUGACCACAGCCUGCCCUCUAAACGCUACUGGAGGACCUGAGUGCCAGUGCGAAGAGUCCUUUGGUUGGUCGUGUGACACCUGUUUGACGUAUGGUGGAUGCAGCAAUGCCAGUACAUUACCCUGUGACUGCAGAUAUGGAGUGCCUCCACUUGGAGAGUCCUGUAAACCAAUCUCAAGUAUCGCCCCAUGUCCACCAUCCAUAGAAGUGGACAUUGUUCUUAUUGUUGACACUCCAACCAACGCUGAGCCAUCAGAGAUCUGGAAUCAACUGAGGGAUGCUCUAGAGAAUAUAUCCUUCCCAUUAGCGAUAGCAGAAGAGUUAGCACUCCAAAGUUGGAAUUUGACCACAGCCUGCCCUCUAAACGCUACUGGAGGACCUGAGUGCCAGUGCGAAGAGUCCUUUGGUUGGUCGUGUGACACCUGUUUGACGUAUGGUGGAUGCAGCAAUGCCAGUACAUUACCCUGUGACUGCAGAUAUGGAGUGCCUCCACUUGGAGAGUCCUGUAAACCAAUCUCAAGUAUCGCCCCAUGUCCACCAUCCAUAGAAGUGGACAUUGUUCUUAUUGUUGACACUCCAACCAACGCUGAGCCAUCAGAGAUCUGGAAUCAACUGAGGGAUGCUCUAGAGAAUAUAUCCUUCCCAUUAGCGAUAGCAGAAGAGUUAGCACUCCAAAGUUGGAAUUUGACCACAGCCUGCCCUCUAAACGCUACUGGAGGACCUGAGUGCCAGUGCGAAGAGUCCUUUGGUUGGUCGUGUGACACCUGUUUGACGUAUGGUGGAUGCAGCAAUGCCAGUACAUUACCCUGUGACUGCAGAUAUGGAGUGCCUCCACUUGGAGAGUCCUGUAAACCAAUCUCAAGUAUCGCCCCAUGUCCACCAUCCAUAGAAGUGGACAUUGUUCUUAUUGUUGACACUCCAACCAACGCUGAGCCAUCAGAGAUCUGGAAUCAACUGAGGGAUGCUCUAGAGAAUAUAUCCUUCCCAUUAGCGAUAGCAGAAGAGUUAGCACUCCAAAGUUGGAAUUUGACCACAGCCUGCCCUCUAAACGCUACUGGAGGACCUGAGUGCCAGUGCGAAGAGUCCUUUGGUUGGUCGUGUGACACCUGUUUGACGUAUGGUGGAUGCAGCAAUGCCAGUACAUUACCCUGUGACUGCAGAUAUGGAGUGCCUCCACUUGGAGAGUCCUGUAAACCAAUCUCAAGUAUCGCCCCAUGUCCACCAUCCAUAGAAGUGGACAUUGUUCUUAUUGUUGACACUCCAACCAACGCUGAGCCAUCAGAGAUCUGGAAUCAACUGAGGGAUGCUCUAGAGAAUAUAUCCUUCCCAUUAGCGAUAGCAGAAGAGUUAGCACUCCAAAGUUGGAAUUUGACCACAGCCUGCCCUCUAAACGCUACUGGAGGACCUGAGUGCCAGUGCGAAGAGUCCUUUGGUUGGUCGUGUGACACCUGUUUGACGUAUGGUGGAUGCAGCAAUGCCAGUACAUUACCCUGUGACUGCAGAUAUGGAGUGCCUCCACUUGGAGAGUCCUGUAAACCAAUCUCAAGUAUCGCCCCAUGUCCACCAUCCAUAGAAGUGGACAUUGUUCUUAUUGUUGACACUCCAACCAACGCUGAGCCAUCAGAGAUCUGGAAUCAACUGAGGGAUGCUCUAGAGAAUAUAUCCUUCCCAUUAGCGAUAGCAGAAGAGUUAGCACUCCAAAGUUGGAAUUUGACCACAGCCUGCCCUCUAAACGCUACUGGAGGACCUGAGUGCCAGUGCGAAGAGUCCUUUGGUUGGUCGUGUGACACCUGUUUGACGUAUGGUGGAUGCAGCAAUGCCAGUACAUUACCCUGUGACUGCAGAUAUGGAGUGCCUCCACUUGGAGAGUCCUGUAAACCAAUCUCAAGUAUCGCCCCAUGUCCACCAUCCAUAGAAGUGGACAUUGUUCUUAUUGUUGACACUCCAACCAACGCUGAGCCAUCAGAGAUCUGGAAUCAACUGAGGGAUGCUCUAGAGAAUAUAUCCUUCCCAUUAGCGAUAGCAGAAGAGUUAGCACUCCAAAGUUGGAAUUUGACCACAGCCUGCCCUCUAAACGCUACUGGAGGACCUGAGUGCCAGUGCGAAGAGUCCUUUGGUUGGUCGUGUGACACCUGUUUGACGUAUGGUGGAUGCAGCAAUGCCAGUACAUUACCCUGUGACUGCAGAUAUGGAGUGCCUCCACUUGGAGAGUCCUGUAAACCAAUCUCAAGUAUCGCCCCAUGUCCACCAUCCAUAGAAGUGGACAUUGUUCUUAUUGUUGACACUCCAACCAACGCUGAGCCAUCAGAGAUCUGGAAUCAACUGAGGGAUGCUCUAGAGAAUAUAUCCUUCCCAUUAGCGAUAGCAGAAGAGUUAGCACUCCAAAGUUGGAAUUUGACCACAGCCUGCCCUCUAAACGCUACUGGAGGACCUGAGUGCCAGUGCGAAGAGUCCUUUGGUUGGUCGUGUGACACCUGUUUGACGUAUGGUGGAUGCAGCAAUGCCAGUACAUUACCCUGUGACUGCAGAUAUGGAGUGCCUCCACUUGGAGAGUCCUGUAAACCAAUCUCAAGUAUCGCCCCAUGUCCACCAUCCAUAGAAGUGGACAUUGUUCUUAUUGUUGACACUCCAACCAACGCUGAGCCAUCAGAGAUCUGGAAUCAACUGAGGGAUGCUCUAGAGAAUAUAUCCUUCCCAUUAGCGAUAGCAGAAGAGUUAGCACUCCAAAGUUGGAAUUUGACCACAGCCUGCCCUCUAAACGCUACUGGAGGACCUGAGUGCCAGUGCGAAGAGUCCUUUGGUUGGUCGUGUGACACCUGUUUGACGUAUGGUGGAUGCAGCAAUGCCAGUACAUUACCCUGUGACUGCAGAUAUGGAGUGCCUCCACUUGGAGAGUCCUGUAAACCAAUCUCAAGUAUCGCCCCAUGUCCACCAUCCAUAGAAGUGGACAUUGUUCUUAUUGUUGACACUCCAACCAACGCUGAGCCAUCAGAGAUCUGGAAUCAACUGAGGGAUGCUCUAGAGAAUAUAUCCUUCCCAUUAGCGAUAGCAGAAGAGUUAGCACUCCAAAGUUGGAAUUUGACCACAGCCUGCCCUCUAAACGCUACUGGAGGACCUGAGUGCCAGUGCGAAGAGUCCUUUGGUUGGUCGUGUGACACCUGUUUGACGUAUGGUGGAUGCAGCAAUGCCAGUACAUUACCCUGUGACUGCAGAUAUGGAGUGCCUCCACUUGGAGAGUCCUGUAAACCAAUCUCAAGUAUCGCCCCAUGUCCACCAUCCAUAGAAGUGGACAUUGUUCUUAUUGUUGACACUCCAACCAACGCUGAGCCAUCAGAGAUCUGGAAUCAACUGAGGGAUGCUCUAGAGAAUAUAUCCUUCCCAUUAGCGAUAGCAGAAGAGUUAGCACUCCAAAGUUGGAAUUUGACCACAGCCUGCCCUCUAAACGCUACUGGAGGACCUGAGUGCCAGUGCGAAGAGUCCUUUGGUUGGUCGUGUGACACCUGUUUGACGUAUGGUGGAUGCAGCAAUGCCAGUACAUUACCCUGUGACUGCAGAUAUGGAGUGCCUCCACUUGGAGAGUCCUGUAAACCAAUCUCAAGUAUCGCCCCAUGUCCACCAUCCAUAGAAGUGGACAUUGUUCUUAUUGUUGACACUCCAACCAACGCUGAGCCAUCAGAGAUCUGGAAUCAACUGAGGGAUGCUCUAGAGAAUAUAUCCUUCCCAUUAGCGAUAGCAGAAGAGUUAGCACUCCAAAGUUGGAAUUUGACCACAGCCUGCCCUCUAAACGCUACUGGAGGACCUGAGUGCCAGUGCGAAGAGUCCUUUGGUUGGUCGUGUGACACCUGUUUGACGUAUGGUGGAUGCAGCAAUGCCAGUACAUUACCCUGUGACUGCAGAUAUGGAGUGCCUCCACUUGGAGAGUCCUGUAAACCAAUCUCAAGUAUCGCCCCAUGUCCACCAUCCAUAGAAGUGGACAUUGUUCUUAUUGUUGACACUCCAACCAACGCUGAGCCAUCAGAGAUCUGGAAUCAACUGAGGGAUGCUCUAGAGAAUAUAUCCUUCCCAUUAGCGAUAGCAGAAGAGUUAGCACUCCAAAGUUGGAAUUUGACCACAGCCUGCCCUCUAAACGCUACUGGAGGACCUGAGUGCCAGUGCGAAGAGUCCUUUGGUUGGUCGUGUGACACCUGUUUGACGUAUGGUGGAUGCAGCAAUGCCAGUACAUUACCCUGUGACUGCAGAUAUGGAGUGCCUCCACUUGGAGAGUCCUGUAAACCAAUCUCAAGUAUCGCCCCAUGUCCACCAUCCAUAGAAGUGGACAUUGUUCUUAUUGUUGACACUCCAACCAACGCUGAGCCAUCAGAGAUCUGGAAUCAACUGAGGGAUGCUCUAGAGAAUAUAUCCUUCCCAUUAGCGAUAGCAGAAGAGUUAGCACUCCAAAGUUGGAAUUUGACCACAGCCUGCCCUCUAAACGCUACUGGAGGACCUGAGUGCCAGUGCGAAGAGUCCUUUGGUUGGUCGUGUGACACCUGUUUGACGUAUGGUGGAUGCAGCAAUGCCAGUACAUUACCCUGUGACUGCAGAUAUGGAGUGCCUCCACUUGGAGAGUCCUGUAAACCAAUCUCAAGUAUCGCCCCAUGUCCACCAUCCAUAGAAGUGGACAUUGUUCUUAUUGUUGACACUCCAACCAACGCUGAGCCAUCAGAGAUCUGGAAUCAACUGAGGGAUGCUCUAGAGAAUAUAUCCUUCCCAUUAGCGAUAGCAGAAGAGUUAGCACUCCAAAGUUGGAAUUUGACCACAGCCUGCCCUCUAAACGCUACUGGAGGACCUGAGUGCCAGUGCGAAGAGUCCUUUGGUUGGUCGUGUGACACCUGUUUGACGUAUGGUGGAUGCAGCAAUGCCAGUACAUUACCCUGUGACUGCAGAUAUGGAGUGCCUCCACUUGGAGAGUCCUGUAAACCAAUCUCAAGUAUCGCCCCAUGUCCACCAUCCAUAGAAGUGGACAUUGUUCUUAUUGUUGACACUCCAACCAACGCUGAGCCAUCAGAGAUCUGGAAUCAACUGAGGGAUGCUCUAGAGAAUAUAUCCUUCCCAUUAGCGAUAGCAGAAGAGUUAGCACUCCAAAGUUGGAAUUUGACCACAGCCUGCCCUCUAAACGCUACUGGAGGACCUGAGUGCCAGUGCGAAGAGUCCUUUGGUUGGUCGUGUGACACCUGUUUGACGUAUGGUGGAUGCAGCAAUGCCAGUACAUUACCCUGUGACUGCAGAUAUGGAGUGCCUCCACUUGGAGAGUCCUGUAAACCAAUCUCAAGUAUCGCCCCAUGUCCACCAUCCAUAGAAGUGGACAUUGUUCUUAUUGUUGACACUCCAACCAACGCUGAGCCAUCAGAGAUCUGGAAUCAACUGAGGGAUGCUCUAGAGAAUAUAUCCUUCCCAUUAGCGAUAGCAGAAGAGUUAGCACUCCAAAGUUGGAAUUUGACCACAGCCUGCCCUCUAAACGCUACUGGAGGACCUGAGUGCCAGUGCGAAGAGUCCUUUGGUUGGUCGUGUGACACCUGUUUGACGUAUGGUGGAUGCAGCAAUGCCAGUACAUUACCCUGUGACUGCAGAUAUGGAGUGCCUCCACUUGGAGAGUCCUGUAAACCAAUCUCAAGUAUCGCCCCAUGUCCACCAUCCAUAGAAGUGGACAUUGUUCUUAUUGUUGACACUCCAACCAACGCUGAGCCAUCAGAGAUCUGGAAUCAACUGAGGGAUGCUCUAGAGAAUAUAUCCUUCCCAUUAGCGAUAGCAGAAGAGUUAGCACUCCAAAGUUGGAAUUUGACCACAGCCUGCCCUCUAAACGCUACUGGAGGACCUGAGUGCCAGUGCGAAGAGUCCUUUGGUUGGUCGUGUGACACCUGUUUGACGUAUGGUGGAUGCAGCAAUGCCAGUACAUUACCCUGUGACUGCAGAUAUGGAGUGCCUCCACUUGGAGAGUCCUGUAAACCAAUCUCAAGUAUCGCCCCAUGUCCACCAUCCAUAGAAGUGGACAUUGUUCUUAUUGUUGACACUCCAACCAACGCUGAGCCAUCAGAGAUCUGGAAUCAACUGAGGGAUGCUCUAGAGAAUAUAUCCUUCCCAUUAGCGAUAGCAGAAGAGUUAGCACUCCAAAGUUGGAAUUUGACCACAGCCUGCCCUCUAAACGCUACUGGAGGACCUGAGUGCCAGUGCGAAGAGUCCUUUGGUUGGUCGUGUGACACCUGUUUGACGUAUGGUGGAUGCAGCAAUGCCAGUACAUUACCCUGUGACUGCAGAUAUGGAGUGCCUCCACUUGGAGAGUCCUGUAAACCAAUCUCAAGUAUCGCCCCAUGUCCACCAUCCAUAGAAGUGGACAUUGUUCUUAUUGUUGACACUCCAACCAACGCUGAGCCAUCAGAGAUCUGGAAUCAACUGAGGGAUGCUCUAGAGAAUAUAUCCUUCCCAUUAGCGAUAGCAGAAGAGUUAGCACUCCAAAGUUGGAAUUUGACCACAGCCUGCCCUCUAAACGCUACUGGAGGACCUGAGUGCCAGUGCGAAGAGUCCUUUGGUUGGUCGUGUGACACCUGUUUGACGUAUGGUGGAUGCAGCAAUGCCAGUACAUUACCCUGUGACUGCAGAUAUGGAGUGCCUCCACUUGGAGAGUCCUGUAAACCAAUCUCAAGUAUCGCCCCAUGUCCACCAUCCAUAGAAGUGGACAUUGUUCUUAUUGUUGACACUCCAACCAACGCUGAGCCAUCAGAGAUCUGGAAUCAACUGAGGGAUGCUCUAGAGAAUAUAUCCUUCCCAUUAGCGAUAGCAGAAGAGUUAGCACUCCAAAGUUGGAAUUUGACCACAGCCUGCCCUCUAAACGCUACUGGAGGACCUGAGUGCCAGUGCGAAGAGUCCUUUGGUUGGUCGUGUGACACCUGUUUGACGUAUGGUGGAUGCAGCAAUGCCAGUACAUUACCCUGUGACUGCAGAUAUGGAGUGCCUCCACUUGGAGAGUCCUGUAAACCAAUCUCAAGUAUCGCCCCAUGUCCACCAUCCAUAGAAGUGGACAUUGUUCUUAUUGUUGACACUCCAACCAACGCUGAGCCAUCAGAGAUCUGGAAUCAACUGAGGGAUGCUCUAGAGAAUAUAUCCUUCCCAUUAGCGAUAGCAGAAGAGUUAGCACUCCAAAGUUGGAAUUUGACCACAGCCUGCCCUCUAAACGCUACUGGAGGACCUGAGUGCCAGUGCGAAGAGUCCUUUGGUUGGUCGUGUGACACCUGUUUGACGUAUGGUGGAUGCAGCAAUGCCAGUACAUUACCCUGUGACUGCAGAUAUGGAGUGCCUCCACUUGGAGAGUCCUGUAAACCAAUCUCAAGUAUCGCCCCAUGUCCACCAUCCAUAGAAGUGGACAUUGUUCUUAUUGUUGACACUCCAACCAACGCUGAGCCAUCAGAGAUCUGGAAUCAACUGAGGGAUGCUCUAGAGAAUAUAUCCUUCCCAUUAGCGAUAGCAGAAGAGUUAGCACUCCAAAGUUGGAAUUUGACCACAGCCUGCCCUCUAAACGCUACUGGAGGACCUGAGUGCCAGUGCGAAGAGUCCUUUGGUUGGUCGUGUGACACCUGUUUGACGUAUGGUGGAUGCAGCAAUGCCAGUACAUUACCCUGUGACUGCAGAUAUGGAGUGCCUCCACUUGGAGAGUCCUGUAAACCAAUCUCAAGUAUCGCCCCAUGUCCACCAUCCAUAGAAGUGGACAUUGUUCUUAUUGUUGACACUCCAACCAACGCUGAGCCAUCAGAGAUCUGGAAUCAACUGAGGGAUGCUCUAGAGAAUAUAUCCUUCCCAUUAGCGAUAGCAGAAGAGUUAGCACUCCAAAGUUGGAAUUUGACCACAGCCUGCCCUCUAAACGCUACUGGAGGACCUGAGUGCCAGUGCGAAGAGUCCUUUGGUUGGUCGUGUGACACCUGUUUGACGUAUGGUGGAUGCAGCAAUGCCAGUACAUUACCCUGUGACUGCAGAUAUGGAGUGCCUCCACUUGGAGAGUCCUGUAAACCAAUCUCAAGUAUCGCCCCAUGUCCACCAUCCAUAGAAGUGGACAUUGUUCUUAUUGUUGACACUCCAACCAACGCUGAGCCAUCAGAGAUCUGGAAUCAACUGAGGGAUGCUCUAGAGAAUAUAUCCUUCCCAUUAGCGAUAGCAGAAGAGUUAGCACUCCAAAGUUGGAAUUUGACCACAGCCUGCCCUCUAAACGCUACUGGAGGACCUGAGUGCCAGUGCGAAGAGUCCUUUGGUUGGUCGUGUGACACCUGUUUGACGUAUGGUGGAUGCAGCAAUGCCAGUACAUUACCCUGUGACUGCAGAUAUGGAGUGCCUCCACUUGGAGAGUCCUGUAAACCAAUCUCAAGUAUCGCCCCAUGUCCACCAUCCAUAGAAGUGGACAUUGUUCUUAUUGUUGACACUCCAACCAACGCUGAGCCAUCAGAGAUCUGGAAUCAACUGAGGGAUGCUCUAGAGAAUAUAUCCUUCCCAUUAGCGAUAGCAGAAGAGUUAGCACUCCAAAGUUGGAAUUUGACCACAGCCUGCCCUCUAAACGCUACUGGAGGACCUGAGUGCCAGUGCGAAGAGUCCUUUGGUUGGUCGUGUGACACCUGUUUGACGUAUGGUGGAUGCAGCAAUGCCAGUACAUUACCCUGUGACUGCAGAUAUGGAGUGCCUCCACUUGGAGAGUCCUGUAAACCAAUCUCAAGUAUCGCCCCAUGUCCACCAUCCAUAGAAGUGGACAUUGUUCUUAUUGUUGACACUCCAACCAACGCUGAGCCAUCAGAGAUCUGGAAUCAACUGAGGGAUGCUCUAGAGAAUAUAUCCUUCCCAUUAGCGAUAGCAGAAGAGUUAGCACUCCAAAGUUGGAAUUUGACCACAGCCUGCCCUCUAAACGCUACUGGAGGACCUGAGUGCCAGUGCGAAGAGUCCUUUGGUUGGUCGUGUGACACCUGUUUGACGUAUGGUGGAUGCAGCAAUGCCAGUACAUUACCCUGUGACUGCAGAUAUGGAGUGCCUCCACUUGGAGAGUCCUGUAAACCAAUCUCAAGUAUCGCCCCAUGUCCACCAUCCAUAGAAGUGGACAUUGUUCUUAUUGUUGACACUCCAACCAACGCUGAGCCAUCAGAGAUCUGGAAUCAACUGAGGGAUGCUCUAGAGAAUAUAUCCUUCCCAUUAGCGAUAGCAGAAGAGUUAGCACUCCAAAGUUGGAAUUUGACCACAGCCUGCCCUCUAAACGCUACUGGAGGACCUGAGUGCCAGUGCGAAGAGUCCUUUGGUUGGUCGUGUGACACCUGUUUGACGUAUGGUGGAUGCAGCAAUGCCAGUACAUUACCCUGUGACUGCAGAUAUGGAGUGCCUCCACUUGGAGAGUCCUGUAAACCAAUCUCAAGUAUCGCCCCAUGUCCACCAUCCAUAGAAGUGGACAUUGUUCUUAUUGUUGACACUCCAACCAACGCUGAGCCAUCAGAGAUCUGGAAUCAACUGAGGGAUGCUCUAGAGAAUAUAUCCUUCCCAUUAGCGAUAGCAGAAGAGUUAGCACUCCAAAGUUGGAAUUUGACCACAGCCUGCCCUCUAAACGCUACUGGAGGACCUGAGUGCCAGUGCGAAGAGUCCUUUGGUUGGUCGUGUGACACCUGUUUGACGUAUGGUGGAUGCAGCAAUGCCAGUACAUUACCCUGUGACUGCAGAUAUGGAGUGCCUCCACUUGGAGAGUCCUGUAAACCAAUCUCAAGUAUCGCCCCAUGUCCACCAUCCAUAGAAGUGGACAUUGUUCUUAUUGUUGACACUCCAACCAACGCUGAGCCAUCAGAGAUCUGGAAUCAACUGAGGGAUGCUCUAGAGAAUAUAUCCUUCCCAUUAGCGAUAGCAGAAGAGUUAGCACUCCAAAGUUGGAAUUUGACCACAGCCUGCCCUCUAAACGCUACUGGAGGACCUGAGUGCCAGUGCGAAGAGUCCUUUGGUUGGUCGUGUGACACCUGUUUGACGUAUGGUGGAUGCAGCAAUGCCAGUACAUUACCCUGUGACUGCAGAUAUGGAGUGCCUCCACUUGGAGAGUCCUGUAAACCAAUCUCAAGUAUCGCCCCAUGUCCACCAUCCAUAGAAGUGGACAUUGUUCUUAUUGUUGACACUCCAACCAACGCUGAGCCAUCAGAGAUCUGGAAUCAACUGAGGGUUGCUCUAGAGAAUAUAUCCUUCCCAUUAGCGAUAGCAGAAGAGUUAGCACUCCAAAGUUGGAAUUUGACCACAGCCUGCCCUCUAAACGCUACUGGAGGACCUGAGUGCCAGUGCGAAGAGUCCUUUGGUUGGUCGUGUGACACCUGUUUGACGUAUGGUGGAUGCAGCAAUGCCAGUACAUUACCCUGUGACUGCAGAUAUGGAGUGCCUCCACUUGGAGAGUCCUGUAAACCAAUCUCAAGUAUCGCCCCAUGUCCACCAUCCAUAGAAGUGGACAUUGUUCUUAUUGUUGACACUCCAACCAACGCUGAGCCAUCAGAGAUCUGGAAUCAACUGAGGGAUGCUCUAGAGAAUAUAUCCUUCCCAUUAGCGAUAGCAGAAGAGUUAGCACUCCAAAGUUGGAAUUUGACCACAGCCUGCCCUCUAAACGCUACUGGAGGACCUGAGUGCCAGUGCGAAGAGUCCUUUGGUUGGUCGUGUGACACCUGUUUGACGUAUGGUGGAUGCAGCAAUGCCAGUACAUUACCCUGUGACUGCAGAUAUGGAGUGCCUCCACUUGGAGAGUCCUGUAAACCAAUCUCAAGUAUCGCCCCAUGUCCACCAUCCAUAGAAGUGGACAUUGUUCUUUUUGUUGACACUCCAACCAACGCUGAGCCAUCAGAGAUCAGGAAUCAACUGAGGAAUGCUCUAGAGAAUGUAUCCUUCCCAUUAGCGAUAGCAGAAGAGUUAGCACUCCAAAGUUGGAAUUUGACAACAGCCUGCUACACUGACUUGAAUCAACAACAGCAGUGUCAGUGUGAAAAUGAUUAUUGGUGGUCUUGUGAGAUCUGCGAAGAAUUUGGUGCCUGUAGCCAUGCCAGUAUGCAAAAUUGUGACUGUAUCAAUAAAAUUCCUUCAGAUGGACAGUAUUGUGAACUAAAUGUCAUCACCACGUGUUCAACAACAACAGCAACAACAACACAAAACAGGUCAUUAUCAUUCAUUAUGGAAAUUGACUUUGACGACUCAUACAACGACGAAAAUAACUCUGUUAACCAGAGGUGGUCACAGUCUAUUAAAAAUCAAUCUAUGAUCCAUAUUCCAGGGCUAAUAUCAGCGGAAUCUUUGGUCUUCAGUGCUGGUAGCACCAUUGCUGACUUUGAAAUUACGGCAAAUAUGACAAUUCAAGAUCCAGAUGUUGAAGCACUUCGCGCAGCAAUAUUCAAUGAUCUGAGGAAUACUUUUCCUUUGAGGUUUGAGAGCAGAAGAAAUUUGAAAUUUCAACCAAGUACUGUAUUCUUCGACGACGAAUUGAAUAUAACAUGUGGCCCACCACCAAACGAACUCCAGUUUCGUAUCACCUCAACCAAAUGGUCACUUAAUGGCGUUUCAAUAAUUGAAGACAUUCGACGCAGAUUUUCACAAGCUAAUGGAGCAGAAACGCUUACGAUCACAAAUAUCACUUCUACUGACAAUGGGACGUAUGAAUGUCAACUGUUUGAUGGGAAUUCAAGUUACUGGCAGGUCUCUAAUGAAACAUUCCGUUUGGUGUUUGGUCCAGAAGGUGGAUUCACAUGUGUUGAUGAUCCAGAAUUUGGAAAUGGAUUCUUAAACGACACGGGAACAGCUUCUUGUGAAGCAGACGAAUCGGGAGUGAAGACUGCUGUUUGCAGGGAAAGUGGAGAAUGGGAAGAUCGAGAAGACAACUGCACUUCUCUUGCAGAACUCCUCACUGAGUCUGAGAAUUUGGACAAUCUGACUUUGCCACAGUUCUUGGAGGCAUUACGCAUCACUAUUCUUGAACAAAGUGACCGAGUGGAUGGAUCUGUUGAAAACAUUACCGCCACUGUUAGAAUUCUCAACAAUGUUGCCACCUUGGUAACAACUGCUGAUAUCCCGAUAAGUCGGGAAUCUAUGAAGAAUGUCCUGCUCGUUACUGAUGUCCUCAUUAGAGAUCAGGCAAGAGAAUCAUGGGACAUACUUAACUUUGAAGCAGUCCAAGCGAGUGAAGAAACAAGAAUCAUCACUCCCAGAAAUGAAAGCAUCAGCUCACUAUUUUUGUUUUCAGUUGAGGGUAUAACAAGUAGACUUAUCAAUGCCUCUCUUGUCAUUGAAACACCUUUGAUUCUCUUGAACAAAACUACGUUCACCGACAGUUUCAACGGGGAUUUUAAUUCUACAGUGGAGAUAGACAUAGACGGGUCCAAUGGAGCAACAAACCUUACCGUGGUAACCUUUGAAUCCUUGGAUAAUGCCCUUCCUCCAAGAGAUGAGAACAACGCUACAGGCAGGGUCAUCAAUGGGAGAGUUGUACUUGUUCAGUCUGACACCAUCGUCGACAAUAUCACUUUCACAUUUGACAUUGUAGAUGAUAACCUGGGAAACCCUCAGUGUGUGUUCUGGAACUUUUCCCUCUUUGACUGUCUUGGCGGAUGGGAUGGCGAAGGCUGCGAGCUCAUUGAAAGAGAGGAUGAAACUGUCACAUGUCGGUGUGACCACCUGACCUCCUUUUCGAUACUAAUGUCUCCAGUUGAUCUAAACAGCCGCGUGUUGGAUUUCAUAACCUACGUUGGUGUCGGGAUUUCUAUGGCAUCCUUAGUUGUAUGCCUCUUUAUUGAGGCGUUUAUAUGGAAAAAAGUUCGAAAGAGCAGCACAUCACACUUGCGCCAUGUUUCCAUUGUUAACAUUGCAUUGUCUCUCCUGAUUGCAAACAUUUGGUUCAUUAUUGGUGCAAAUAUCUCUGAAGGAGAUAAAAAGAAUCCGGAUGCAUGCACUGCUGCUACUUUUUUCAUCCAUUUCUUUUACUUGGCCCUCUUUUUCUGGAUGUUGGCCUCUGCCCUGUUGCUAUUGUACCGCUCAGUCAGAGUCCUUGGUGGAGGACUUUCGAGAAAUACUAUGUUGGCUAUUGGAUACUCUCUUGGUUAUGGCGCCCCACUGAUUAUCACCGUCAUUACUAUCGCUGUAACUGCACCGAGCAAUGCUUACAUACGAGAAAAUGUGAUCUGCUGGCUCAAUUGGAAUCAGUCGAAAGCACUGCUGGCAUUUGUGAUCCCGGCACUCAUCAUUGUGUUCAUAAACAUUCUAAUCCUAAUUGUAGUGAUAGUCAAAAUAUUGCAGAGUCGAGGGAUGUCAAACACUCAACCAGAAGAGGAGAAGUAUGUCCUGGUGGUCAUUUUUCGGAGUAUAGCCAUUUUAACACCCUUUUUUGGAUUAACUUGGAGUCUUGGAGUUGGAAUCUUAAUUGACCCAAGUAAUCUCGGAAUCCACAUUGCCUUCGCCUUCUUCAAUUCCCUGCAGGGUUUCUUCAUAUUGGUUUUUGGAACCCUCCUAGACAGAAAGGUUCGGUCAGAAAUUUCCACGUUCAGACUCUCUAAGUCCCAAAGUUCUGGCAGUGGGACAAGGACCACGAGUGCUUCAUCAAGUGGAUGGCAGAUUUGGAGGAACAUUGGAAGAAGAGGUGGUAACGGUUUAUCGGAGUCGUCAUCGUAUUCGGCGAUCAACACUUGAUAUCCGCUGCCAACAUCUUUGCUCAGGCUGACCGAGCAACAAACUGUUCUCAAUAGCGUGUGAAUGCUGAGCGAUAAGCUAUCACAUUAUUGCUUAAGUACUUUAAUAUUACUUUCUUGUUGUUGACCUUACUAGAAUUUAUUCAUUCCAAAAUCUCUUCUUUAUACAUUUCUGAUAUACACAUACAUUUAGUAUUGUAGUGAAAAAGUUAAUUUUGCAAAGGGUUGUUUGUUCUGUCUGGCUUGUCCAGGCAAAUUUCUGAUUUUCCUUCACAGGUCAGUGAAUUUCGUUUUUUCUUGCAGGUGCAUUGCAAUGACAAAUGGUUUUGAAUUGUUAGUCAAAGUUAUUCUUGGUAUGCUAGUAGAUAUCACAGCAUGCCGGAGAUAGCAAUACACUUUGGGACAUCAGAGAAAUUAUUAUUAAAUAUUGUUUUCAUGUGCAGUUAUAUCAUUAAAAAAUGAUAAACUUGCACUAGCCCAUCACAAGACAUUUGAAGCACUUUACAAAUAUAUUUGUGUUGAAUUAGUAUAGUUAGUGUAAUUAGUAUUUAUGCUUUCUCCAAUAAUCAAAUGUAGGAAAAUAGCUACCUAUUUACGUUCACAUAGGUUCAGAUUUACAGAAAUUGGUCGUUUCAUAGUUACCAGAGUAUUGAUACUAAAAGGUAAAACCAAGUAUUUUACUCCUCACCGACUUUGAUUUGUCUCAAAAUUAAAAUGUAUGAUGUUCU